AUGGUGAGUAAAUACAAGAACAAUGUUCUGCUGAAAGGAUUAGAAGCCAUCAAUGACUAUCACUUCAGCAUAAUUAAUUCCUUACUGAUCAAUGAUUUAAAACUUAAUUCAACAAGGAGAGACGAAUAUGACAAAAUUCAGAUUGCCGACUUGAUGGAAGAAAAGUUCCCAGGUGAUGCUGGUUUUGGCAAACUGAGAACUCUUCAAAGAAAUACCAACACUGGGAGAGGAGACCUUGCUGAAACUCUUAGAAAAGUCAAAAGUUGUGAAUAAAAUUAAAUCCAUUCCAGCAAAAGGAAAAACCUCAUCAAAGAAGAGGAAGCAGAGAAAAGUAGGUCCAACUACACCUUUAGCAACCACAGACAAGAAGUUCACAGCUGAAGGAGGAGAGGAGACUCCUAUAGCUCAGAAAAGAAAAAACCCAACCAAAGAAAAGGCUGGAACCAAAAGGAGUAAGAUAUCCGAGGAGCAGACUCAGCCUCCCUGUCCUGCAGGAGCCGGCAUGUCCACAGCCAUGGGCAUUCCCCACCUCCCCAGACCUCAUCAUCAGCUCCACCCAACACUUCCUCAACUGAGAAUACAGGAACCAUGGAUGUAGUCAGGAAUGAAAAAUGGCACAAUAUCAAGUGUGAGGAAGGAGAUAAGUUUUGAUUAUUCUGCUUUCAUCUAAGAACAAUUGACUACAAGCUAAAAUUGAUUUGUAGAAUUCACAUUUUUAUCAAG
rnacentral:lncRNA from 1 species